CCCUUUCUAAGAAGCUUGUGUGAUCACCAAUAGAGGAAAAAAUGACAAAUUUUCUAAGAAGAUACAGCCCCUCGCAAUGAAGAUCAAUGACUGAAAUGCUACAGAGGAGUGUUUGUUGAAAAAGCAAUUAAAUUUGAAUAAGAAAUUAAGUAC